rnacentral:misc_RNA from 1 species
AGUCGUAACAAGGUUUCCGUAGGUGAACCUGCGGAAGGAUCAUUAACACGUAUCCAACGUUAAACCCCCGUGCAUCUUUAGAGAGCUCUUGUAAGCCCAUUAUGACAGCAAUCCUAUUCAGGACCUCUGUCUGGUGAGAACCUAGCGGUAAGCGAGCAAUUGAGCCUUUUAUCGUCAGUCUGGAGUCCUGGCCGGGCGAAUGAAAGUGUCGCUGGACGGUUUCUAGGGUAAGGCUUCGCCAUCACUGGAGGCUCAACACGGGCCGGUGGACAGACUGCAGGGUCCCCAUGCCCCUUUAUGACGACCAAGUUAAAUAAGGCCUCUACCACAUAGCAAGUGCGCCGUGGUAGAGGAAAACGUACAACUGUUAACAAUGGAUAUCUUGGUUCUC